AAUUGAUGUAAUCUUUUUUGCUUGAACCUUGACUACAGAAACAAACAUUACAUGUGGAUUUUAUUAUAUUACAGGAACUGUAGGAAGUUUUCCAAGAGUCUGAUUGCUAAGUAUGCAUUACAGGAUUUUAUCAUUGGAGCAACAUCUUAGGAGGAUAAACUUGUGCAAACGUAUGAAGGAAUCCUUGAAAUAUACAAAUAGCAAUUAUAUGCAGAAGAGGACUCUUAUAAACAUUAUAAACAGACAUGAAGUAAUAGUAGUGGUGUAUUCAAGAAGUGUAAACCACCUGGAAUAAACUAUUGUGUAUAUUUUUUCAACCACAAGUACUUUCAGAAUAUAGUACAGUUCAAAUUCAAAUUAUUGUGUCAACAGACAAGUUAUGUUAAAAAAAAUGAAAAUGCAUGUUGUUUUAAAAUGAAAUUUGUAUAUAUAAAAAAAAACGAAAUAACAAAAUUUUGUAGC
rnacentral:lncRNA from 1 species